rnacentral:rRNA from 1 species
GACGAACGCUGGCGGCAUGCCUAACACAUGCAAGUCGAACGAGGGUAGCAAUACCCUAGUGGCGAACGGGUGAGUAACACGUGAGCAACCUACCCUUUACAACGGAAUACCACUAAGAAAUUAGUGUUAAUACGGUAUAGGACCACACCGAGGCAUCUCGGAGGGGUGAAAGCGGUAUAAUAGCGGUAAAGGAUGGGCUCGCGUCCAAUUAGCUAGUUGGUGGGAUAACAGCCCCCCAAGGCGACGAUUGGUAGCCGACUUGAGAGAGUGAUCGGCCACACUGGAACUGAGACACGGUCCAGACUCCUACGGGAGGCAGCAGUGGGGAAUAUUGGGCAAUGGAGGAAACUCUUACCCAGCAAUGCCGCGUGAGUGAAUGAAGGUCUUCGGAUUGUAAAGCUCUUUGAUUGGGGACGAAAGAAUGACGGUACCCAAAGAACAAGCCCCGGCUAACUAUGUGCCAGCAGCCGCGGUAAUACAUAGGGGGCAAGCGUUGUCCGGAGUGACUGGGCGUAAAGGGUGAGUAGGCGGUUUCGCAAGUUGGAAGUGUAAUACCUAGAGCUUAACUCAGGUGCUGCUUNCAAAACUGCGAGACUUGAGUGUCGGAGAGGAAAAUGGAAUU